rnacentral:rRNA from 1 species
UGGGGGAUAUUGCACAAUGGGCGAAAGCCUGAUGCAGCGACGCCGCGUGGGGGAUGAAGGCUUUCGGGUUGUAAACCUCUUUCGCUAUCGAACAAGGCCCGCUUAGGGUGGGUUGAGGGUAGGUGGAGAAGAAGCGCCGGCUAACUACGUGCCAGCAGCCGCGGUAAUACGUAGGGCGCGAGCGUUGUCCGGAAUUAUUGGGCGUAAAGGGCUUGUAGGCGGCUUGUUGCGCCUGCUGUGAAAACGCGGGGCUUAACUUCGCGCGUGCAGUGGGUACGGGCAGGCUUGAGUGUGGUAGGGGUGACUGGAAUUCCAGGUGUAACGGUGGAAUGCGCAGAUAUCUGGAAGAACACCGAUGGCGAAGGCAGGUCACUGGGCCAUUACUGACGCUGAAGAGCGAAAGCAUGGGUAGCGAACAGG